UGCUUAUCGAUGAUGUUUCAAAAACAAAUGUCUGAACAUAUGAGUUCUUAAGUGAUUUCAGUUUGUGACUGAGAUAAGCG